rnacentral:lncRNA from 1 species
GCGUAUUGGGUACAAUCGCAGAUAAAUAUGGUAUAAGCACCACGCCUACACAAUAUCUAUCAUUUACCCAUGGAUCCAAUGGAUAAACGCUAUACGAUCCUAAGCAUGUAUAUAGAUCCAAUCUAACUAAGCCAAGUACAUAACUAUGAUAAACUAAGAACAAUAUAAUCUUGAAUAUAAGCAAGUAGAGCAAAGUCAUAAGCAAUAU